GGUCUUGGAGGGGCCCAGUGGGGGCUUCUAUUGAGAGAUGGUUAGUACGGGCAAGAACAGACAGUUAAACUAGCCACGCAUCCAUCAGAGUCAGUCAGGAACACAGGCACCUCACCAGUUACCUGAACGGGAAGAAUUUAACCCAUUCUGUCUUGGAGAGGCAGAAACAGCACAGUUAAGGCUGAGGAAUCCUGUGAGGUGACCUGGUCCAUACCACACCCAAACAGACAAAGAAUCACCAUGUGGUCUCUUCUGUGGUAUCUCUUCUGUGGUGUCUCUUAUAUCUCAGGUAUAAGAUUGAGAAUAAAAAUAACUUGGAGAAAUUGACUACUCCACUUUUUAAAAAAUCUGCUCUCUAAUUUACUAGAGAUGUCUUUUGGAUUAAGGAGUAAAAAGAAGCAGGAUAUUGAUUGCAGAAAAUCAGAAAAGUCAGAGAAGAACACUGAAAAUCUUAAAACCACCUAUAAUUCCAUCACAAAAAGGUCUGGGAUACAUGUGUGGAACGUGCAGGUUUGUUACAUAGGUAUACAUGUGCGAUGGUGGUUUCCUGCACCCACCAACCCAUCAUCUACAAUUAUGAAAACUUUCUCUUUAAUCAAGGAUUUUAACAUGAACAGACUUCUUGAAUAAUAUGGAAAGUUUCCAAUAUAUUGAAUCAUAAAUCCACAAGUCACCAUACAUACAACACCCGGCAGGAAAAAAACAAAAACAGCAAGUUUACACGAUACCUGUAACAGCCAUGAUCUUAAUCUCAGACGCUUCUUCCAGCUACCAAGUGUGUUCUGGAUACAGAGCACACCAUGGCUUCUGGGGUCACACUCAGCUGAGGCUGUGGCCCACAGAGCACUCAUCUCUCUGGGCUGUGGUGGUGGUGGCUCUACUGAAGAAGCAAAACUGUUACCAGCACAUUCAAAAAGCGUGUUGAACAUCUUUUAAAUAUCAAAGUGAGAAACAAGAAGGCAAAAUAAUAGUGUUAUCAGAAAGAUGUUAGGAAGCAAGGACAGCUGUGUAAAGCUCGAGGCUGGAAGGUGACUUGCCAACUUCAUUUACCAUCUGGCUUCUUGGGUAGCGGGCACUGGAAUAGUAAGAUGUGAGGCUCUGGUUCAUGGUUCAUAUAAUGGACUCAUCCCUGACUCUGCUGAAUGCCAAGAUUCCUCCAUUCAGAUUCAUACUCUGCUGAACUCCAAGAUUCCUCCAUUCAAUUCAAGUGGGUUUUAGGGACCAGCUUGGCUAUGUCCUUGGGCAACAUGACAUGCCAAUACUCAAACCCCUCAUCAUUGUAUUUCUCCAAAUAGUAAAUUUAUUUAUGCGAUAUGA
ensembl:lncRNA Novel transcript, antisense to KCTD16